rnacentral:rRNA from 1 species
CGGGGUGAGUAAUGUCUGGGAAACUGCCUGAUGGAGGGGGGUAACUACUGGAAACGGUAGCUAAUACCGCAUAACGUCGCAAGACCAAAGAGGGGGACCUUAGGGCCUCUUGCCAUCGGAUGUGCCCAGAUGGGAUUAGCUAGUAGGUGGGGUAAUGGCUCACCUAGGCGACGAUCCCUAGCUGGUCUGAGAGGAUGACCAGCCACACUGGAACUGAGACACGGUCCAG